GAUGAACGCUGGCGGCGUGCCUAAUACAUGCAAGUCGAGCGAAUGGAUUAAGAGCUUGCUCUUAUGAAGUUAGCGGCGGACGGGUGAGUAACACGUGGGUAACCUGCCCAUAAGACUGGGAUAACUCCGGGAAACCGGGCUAAUACCGGAUAACAUUUUGAACCGCAUGGUUCGAAAUUGAAAGGCGGCUUCGGCUGUCACUUAUGGAGGGACCCGCGUCGCAUUAGCUAGUUGGUGAGGUAACGGCUCACCAAGGCAACGAUGCGUGGCCGACCUGAGAGGGUGAUCGGCCACACUGGGACUGAGACACGGCCCAGACUCCUACGGGAGGCAGCAGUAGGGAAUCUUCCGCAAUGGACGAAAGUCUGACGGAGCAACGCCGCGUGAGUGAUGAAGGCUUUCGGGUCGUAAAACUCUGUUGUUAGGGAAGAACAAGUGCUAGUUGAAUAAGCUGACACCUUGACGGUACCUAACCAGAAAGCCACGGCUAACUACGUGCCAGCCGCCGCUGUAA
rnacentral:rRNA from 1 species